AGAGUUUGAUCCUGGCUCAGAAUGAACGCUGGCGGCGUGCUUAACACAUGCAAGUCGCACGAGAACACCUUGCUUCGGCGAGGUAAGUAAAGUGGCGCACGGGUGAGUAACGCGUGGGUAAUCUACCCUUGAAUUUGGGAUAACAUUGCGAAAGCGAUGCUAAUACCGAAUGAAGUCUAUUAUUUUUAGGAAUGAUAGAUGAAAGAUGGCCUCUACAUGUAAGCUAUUGUUUGGGGAUGAGCCCGCGUACCAUUAGCUAGUUGGAAGGGUAACGGCCUACCAAGGCAACGAUGGUUAGCUGGUCUGAGAGGAUGAUCAGCCACACCGGAACUGACACACGGUCCGGACUCCUACGGGAGGCAGCAGUGAGGAAUUUUGCGCAAUGGGGGAAACCCUGACGCAGCAACGCCGCGUGAGUGAUGAAGGCCUUCGGGUCGUAAAGCUCUGUCAGGUGGGAAGAAUCCGCUAUGUAAGAAACGACAUAGCGCUGACGGUACCACCGAAGGAAGCACCGGCUAACUCCGUGCCAGCAGCCGCGGUAAUACGGAGGGUGCAAGCGUUAUUCGGAUUUAUUGGGCGUAAAGAGCGCGUAGGCGGCCUUUCAAGUCAGAUGUGAAAUCCCGGGGCUUAACCCCGGAAGAGCA
rnacentral:rRNA from 1 species